rnacentral:rRNA from 1 species
UACGUAGGGUGCAAGCGUUAAUCGGAAUUACUGGGCGUAAAGCGUGCGCAGGCGGUUGUGUAAGACAGGUGUGAAAUCCCCGGGCUUAACCUGGGAAUUGCAUUUGUGACUGCACGACUAGAGUGUGUCAGAGGGGGGUGGAAUUCCACGUGUAGCAGUGAAAUGCGUAGAUAUGUGGAGGAACACCAAUGGCGAAGGCAGCCCCCUGGGAUAACACUGACGCUCAUGCACGAAAGCGUGGGGAGCAAACAGGAUUAGAUACCCAGUAGUCC